GAUCCUGGCUCAGGAUGAACGCUGGCGGCAUGCCUAAGACAUGCAAGUCGAACGAGAUGGCCCACAGAUUUAGAAGGAAGAUAGAGUGCUUGCACGAAGUUAGAAUUUUGAUGACGUGGAAUUUCCAUCUAGUGGCAAACGGGUGAAUAACACGUGGGUAACCUACCUCUAGUUGGGGAUAACAGUUGGAAACGACUGAUAAUACCGAAUAAGCUCUACGGAGUAAAGAAGCAAUCAAGCUUCG
rnacentral:rRNA from 1 species